rnacentral:rRNA from 1 species
GUGGGAUGUACGCUGGCGGCAGGCCUAACACUGCAAGUCGAGCGGUAACACAGAGAGCUUGCUCUCGGGUGACGAGCGGCGGACGGGUGAGUAAUGUCUGGGAAACUGCCUGAUGGAGGGGGAUAACUACUGGAAACGGUAGCUAAUACCGCAUAACGUCGCAAGACCAAAGUGGGGGACCUUCGGGCCUCAUGCCAUCAGAUGUGCCCAGAUGGGAUUAGCUAGUAGGUGGGGUAAUGGCUCACCUAGGCGACGAUCCCUAGCUGGUCUGAGAGGAUGACCAGCCACACUGGAACUGAGACACGGUCCAGACUCCUACGGGAGGCAGCAGUGGGGAAUAUUGCACAAUGGGCGCAAGCCUGAUGCAGCCAUGCCGCGUGUAUGAAGAAGGCCUUCGGGUUGUAAAGUACUUUCAGCGAGGAGGAAGGCAUUAAGGUUAAUAACCUUGGUGAUUGACGUUACUCGCAGAAGAAGCACCGGCUAACUCCGUGCCAGCAGCCGCGGUAAUACGGAGGGUGCAAGCGUUAAUCGGAAUUACUGGGCGUAAAGCGCACGCAGGCGGUCUGUCAAGUCGGAUGUGAAAUCCCCGGGCUCAACCUGGGAACUGCAUUCGAAACUGGCAGGCUAGAGUCUUGUAGAGGGGGGUAGAAUUCCAGGUGUAGCGGUGAAAUGCGUAGAGAUCUGGAGGAAUACCGGUGGCGAAGGCGGCCCCCUGGACAAAGACUGACGCUCAGGUGCGAAAGCGUGGGGAGCAAACAGGAUUAGAUACCCUGGUAGUCCACGCCGUAAACGAUGUCGACUUGGAGGUUGUGCCCUUGAGGCGUGGCUUCCGGAGCUAACGCGUUAAGUCGACCGCCUGGGGAGUACGGCCGCAAGGUUAAAACUCAAAUGAAUUGACGGGGGCCCGCACAAGCGGUGGAGCAUGUGGUUUAAUUCGAUGCAACGCGAAGAACCUUACCUACUCUUGACAUCCAGAGAACUUAGCAGAGAUGCUUUGGUGCCUUCGGGAACUCUGAGACAGGUGCUGCAUGGCUGUCGUCAGCUCGUGUUGUGAAAUGUUGGGUUAAGUCCCGCAACGAGCGCAACCCUUAUCCUUUGUUGCCAGCGGUCCGGCCGGGAACUCAAAGGAGACUGCCAGUGAUAAACUGGAGGAAGGUGGGGAUGACGUCAAGUCAUCAUGGCCCUUACGAGUAGGGCUACACACGUGCUACAAUGGCAUAUACAAAGAGAAGCGACCUCGCGAGAGCAAGCGGACCUCAUAAAGUAUGUCGUAGUCCGGAUUGGAGUCUGCAACUCGACUCCAUGAAGUCGGAAUCGCUAGUAAUCGUAGAUCAGAAUGCUACGGUGAAUACGUUCCCGGGCCUUGUACACACCGCCCGUCACACCAUGGGAGUGGGUUGCAAAAGAAGUAGGUAGCUUAACCUUCGGGAGGGCGCUUACCACUUUGUGAUUCAUGACUGGGGUGAAGUCGUAACAAGGUAACCGUAGGGAAGCCUGCCUGCCGG